AUUGAACGCUGGCGGCAUGCUUUACACAUGCAAGUCGAACGGCAGCGCGGGCUUCGGCCUGGCGGCGAGUGGCGAACGGGUGAGUAAUACAUCGGAACGUGCCCAGUUGUGGGGGAUAGCUCGGCGAAAGCCGGAUUAAUACCGCAUACGACCUGAGGGUGAAAGCGGGGGAUCUUCGGACCUCGCGCUAUUGGAGCGGCCGAUGGCAGAUUAGCUAGUUGGUGGGGUAAAGGCCUACCAAGGCGACGAUCUGUAGCUGGUCUGAGAGGACGACCGGCCACACUGGGACUGAGACACGGCCCAGACUCCUACGGGAGGCAGCAGUGGGGAAUUUUGGACAAUGGGCGAAAGCCUGAUCCAGCAAUGCCGCGUGUGUGAUGAAGGCCUUCGGGUUGUAAAGCACUUUUGGCGGGAACGAAAAGGACUGUGCCAAUACCACGGUUCGAUGACGGUACCCGCAGAAUAAGCACCGGCUAACUACGUG
rnacentral:rRNA from 1 species